AAGGCUAGAAAAGUAGGUGCCUCUUCGAUUUCUGAGAUCGGCCCUCGUGGUCUCUGAGCAGCCCAGCUUUUGAGAAAGCGAGCGCCUCUUCGAUUGAUUCGGAGAACGGUGCCUCACCGAUUUUUAAGAAGCAAUCAUGAUGGGGGUCUGGCUCUCGAGAUUCGGGGAGCAGUGUCUCUUCGAUUUUUGAGAAAGUAAUCAUGUUGGGAGAGUGGCUCUCGAGAUUCGGAGGGCGGUGCCUCUUCGAUUUUGGAGCAAGCAAUCUUGUUGGGAGUGUUUUCUCGAAUGUGAGUAAAGGUUGGGCAUGUUUGCUAGUCUACCUUGCCACGAAGCACAGAGGUUGAACACACAGGGACUUUCCAAUUAUCCAGCAAUGGUACUGUUCCUUUACCCCUCUCUUCGAUUUUUAAGAAAGUAGUCAUGUUGGGAGUCUGGCUCUUUAGAUUCGGAGGACGGUGCCUCUUCGAUUUUGGAGCAAGCAAUCUUUUGGGAGUGUUUUCUCGAAUGAGUAAAGGUUGGGCAUGUUUGCUAGUCUACCUUGCCACGAAGCACAGAGGUUGACAUACAUGGACUUUCCAAUUAUCCAGCAG
rnacentral:lncRNA from 1 species